AUGGUCACCACAACAUGUACCUCUGCACUGCCAGUGAGGCUUCUAGCAAAUAGAACUGUAACAACAACAAAGAACAAGGAAAAUUAUCCUCCACAUUUGCUAGAGUGUACAAAUGAAGAAGGGAAAAUAAAUGAGCUCAUAGCAAAGUGUAUGUCUCCAAGUGGCAGAUUGGCAGAAACCAAACAAGGUGGCAACGACACCUCGUGCAGGAGUCCAAUUGCACCUCUAGAAACACAACCGCAAGGUGUAGCAGCAAAAUACGACGACUAUGCAGCUCAUGCUUUUGAUCUUGGACUUGAAGACAUUUUUGGGACAAGCUACAAUGAUUCUAUUGGGACGCGCCCCCAAACUACGCAAUCAACAACUGUCAUCAUCGAAAUAUGUGAAGAGGAGGAUGACUGGGACACUGUAGAACUAGAUGCACCAUGCGCCGACAUAGAGUGA
rnacentral:rRNA from 1 species